rnacentral:rRNA from 1 species
UACGUAGGGCGCAAGCGUUGUCCGGAAUCAUUGGGCGUAAAGCGCGUGUAGGCGGCUCGGUAAGUCCGCUGUGAAAGUCGGGGGCUCAACCCUCGGAUGCCGGUGGAUACUGUCGGGCUAGAGUACGGAAGAGGCGAGUGGAAUUCCUGGUGUAGCGGUGAAAUGCGCAGAUAUCAGGAGGAACACCAAUUGCGAAGGCAGCUCGCUGGGACGUUACUGACGCUGAGACGCGAAAGCGUGGGGAGCAAACAGG